rnacentral:rRNA from 1 species
GUGCCAGCAGCCGCGGUAAUACAGAGGGUGCGAGCGUUAAUCGGAUUUACUGGGCGUAAAGGGUGCGUAGGCGGUUCUAUGAGUGUGAUGUGAAAGCCCUGGGCUCAACCUAGGAAGUGCAUCGCAAACGAUAGAACUGGAGUAUGUGAGAGGGUGGCGGAAUUUCCGGUGUAGCGGUGAAAUGCGUAGAUAUCGGAAGGAACGUCGAUGGCGAAGGCAGCCACCUGGCACAAUACUGACGCUGAGGCACGAAAGCGUGGGGAUCAAACAGGAUUAGAAACCCCCGUAGUCC